AGGUAACAUGGUAGCUUACUUAGAGAAUGUCACAAAAAGCUUAUUUUUAUCCCAGUGCCCACAGACCACUAAAGAAAAAAAGAAAGGAAAAAACCCCACUAAAUUAAUAAAGUAAUCCAGACUAGACAGAUCUAACUUAUAAUAAUAUUACAUACAUAGCCUAUAAAUGCUCUCUGUUCUGUGAACUGUGAUUUUCUAUGGCAGAUACCAUGACACUUUUCUAGUUACAUACAUGCUGUAGCCCUUUUUGAUAAGGAGAGUUUAACCAGACUUGAUGAGAGCUGGGCCGGUUCUACCUCCCCCACAGGUGCAGUUUUUUGUAGUGAUCACGUGUGGACCCGCCCCGUCUUGAAGCCUCCAAUAAAGGAUAGCAAAAGUCACCGCUCUCCUUCCUUCAUGCAGCCAACCCCACUGCGAGGAGGCAGGCAGCGGGGACGUAAAACGAAACCAGCACUGAAGCCCGUGUGAGUGUGUGUGUGUGUGUGUGUGUGUGUGUGUGUGUGUGUGUGUGUGUGUGUGUGUGUGUGUGUGUGUGUGUGUGUGUGUGUGUGUGUGUGUGUGUGUGUGUGUGUGUGUGUGUGUGUGUGUGUGUGUGUGUGUGUGUGUGUGUGUGCGCUGUUUUUUGUUGCUGUGUGAUCUCUAUUGGCCCUUCUGGUUGCCUGGUUAAGCACUUCAACUGUAUUACUGAAACUAUUGAUGUUAUUACUUUUGGGAAUGAAUGGUCAAAGACCUGUAUAAGAGAUGUACAGAUUCUUAUUAUUUAAAGAAUGCAUUGAAUAAAAAAGAUAGAAUGCUGUU